UACGGAGGGUGCGAGCGUUAAUCGGAAUAACUGGGCGUAAAGGGCACGCAGGUGGGCAGUUAAGUGAGAUGUGAAAUCCCAGGGCUUAACCUGGGAAUAGCAUUUCAGACUGGGAGUCUAGAGUACUUUAGGGAGGGGUAGAAUUCCACGUGUAGCGGUGAAAUGCGUAGAGAUGUGGAGGAAUACCGAAGGCGAAGGCAGCCCCCUGGGCAUGUACUGACGCUGAUGUGCGAAAGCGUGGGGAGCAAACAGG
rnacentral:rRNA from 1 species